GUGAAAGACCCGAGCUAACAUGGGGUUAGUUCGUUAAAUUACAAUAAAGCCUCGUGCAGUUUGCAGCAAGCUCUCGAAUCCGCCUGGUGAUUGGGGUGACCGCGAACCUGGCCUGAGACCCCGGAUACUUGAGUUUUCGGGGGUCUAACAUUUUGGGGGCUCGUCCGGGAUUUGCGACCACCCUUCACCUGAGUGGAUUCGAUCUUGGAGGGGGUCAGGGGUCUUUUCUUGAUUCUCUGAGCACGUGGCGCCACCUCAACUGUGAUCGGCAGAUGCGCCCUGUGGACAGACUGCCACUCUGAGGACACCCAGGACCCAGGAGUUUAUAAUGUCAGACAGACUGCCAGAUCCGGACAGUGACCCAAAGUCUCCAAAGAUUAUGAGGCAACCCAGUUCCUGCACCUGGACCAGUGAGCAAGAUGCUCAGAUGUGAUACCUGCCGCCUGCCAGAACCUAGCCGAGACUGUGGACAAAGCUGCUGGACACUGGAAAAUUGAUUGCACCCCUUUGCCUAGACAAAACAAGGUUUCUGCUUCUGGCUGACAUCUGAGUAUCAGUUGCGGACUACAGGCUGUUCUAAGUAGACUGCGAGCCCUGGACUUGCUGUGGAUGUGAACCAGUCAGCUGAUGUGGACACCCCCUGUCUCUACAACAGUGUCUGCUAACCAGAAGCCCCUGAUGAAUUCCCCAUUGCCUAAAUUCCUUUUUGCUUUUGACUAGCAUUUCAACCUUCUGGGGUCCCUAACUUCGUCCCAAAGUCAGCAGGAAGCAGUUUGGAAAAGAAUUUCGCCGUCCAUUUUCCCUGGUUAAAAUGCUAAGUCAAAGGGAACUCCCUUGCAUGGGGAUGCCAGUAUCUAUCACUCCCUGAUGGGGAUGCUAGAGAGACAGCAAUUCCAUGAUUGGAAUUUACAAAAAAGAAAAUGGGGGAAUGAAGGAACCAGCUCCCUUUUGGCAGCCAUUACAGCCGAACACAUGCUUGCCAUAAACCUGCCUUGGUCACGUAGAGGUCAGAUGCCUGUCUCGUGACAAGGAACCCAUCAGAAGUUAGUCACUAGAAAGUCAGAUGCCUGUUUCAUGACAAGGAGCCAAUCGGAAGUUAGCUGGUGGCGCUAUGCUUUACGACCCUGGGUGUGCUUUACGGACAAGCGCACAGCAAUGACGUAGAGAGCAUAGCAACCACCCUGGGAGGGCCUAUGAGCCAUAACAACCAGUUGACCAAUCAACACAGGGCAAGCCCUCCAAGCCUGGAGGCACACCAAUCAUGAGCCUGUGCGUAAGCCUGUGCGUACCCCUAGACACUCCCCUUACGCUGCCCUAUAAGAUCUUUGGG
rnacentral:lncRNA from 1 species